rnacentral:rRNA from 1 species
UACGGAGGGGGCGAGCGUUAUUCGGAAUUAUUGGGCGUAAAGGGCGCGUAGGCGGCUCUUUAAGUCAAAGGUGAAAUCCCUCGGCUCAACUGAGGAACUGCCUUUGAAACUGAGGAGCUUGAGUCCGGGAGGGGGUAGCGGAAUUCCCAGUGUAGCGGUGAAAUGCGUAGAUAUCGUAAGGAAGACCAGUGGCGAAGGCGGGUCUCUAGUACGGUACUGACGCUGAGACGCGAAAGCGUGGGGAGCGAACAGG